CGAAAUCGACAAGAACAAUUCAUCACCGCCAAAUGAGAACUUAAUUAUACACGAGAAUGUUAAGAUUUACAUACCAGCAAUCCUCUUCACGAAUUCGGCAAACCAAAUAACGUAAUUUGCCACUAUUAGCUUCACUUCUUUCCAUUCUCUUGAAGCAAAGUUCUUAAAAACUUAAAAGGAGAUAAAAAGAAAGUGGUUCGAGGAAUGGAGAUUGAUUUUCCUUACCACCGUACAAUAACUCUAAAGUUUGCGACUUUAAAGUUUGUUGAAACACAAAAGUAUAUAAAGAGUGAGAUGGAUGAGUCUGGGGUGACGUCAGCGUGUUGACGUAGCUUAAAGAAAAUAGAAUAGUAAAAGCAGGAUUAUGUUUGUGAAUACCGGGGGUGGGCUUCAUAUAUACAAAUUUAUCCUUGGGAAAUUGUAGUUGGGCAUAAAAAAAUGUUAUUUCAAAGUUGUAGCUCAUAUAUGAAGUAAAAUAAAGUAAUUAAAAUAUACUCACUCCAUCCCAUAAAGUAUGAGCUAAUCAAUUUUACGCACAUUUCAGAAAUUUGAGUAUGACUAUCCGAUAUGUAUUUGCAUUCACAAAAAGAUGAGUUAGUGGAUGAUGACUAAGCAUUUACUUGAAUAUGUGGUUAUAGCUGCUUAGUCAUUAUCCACUAACUCAUCUUUUUGUGAAUGCAAAUACAUAUCAAUAGUCAUACUCAAAUUUCUUAAAUGUGCGUAAAAUUGAUUAGUUCAUGCUUUAUGGGAUGGAGUUAGUAUAUUUUGAUUAGUUUAUUUUACUUCAUAUAUGAGCUACAACUUUAAAAUAACAUUUUUAUGCCCAAUUACAAUUUCCUAAGGAUAAAUUUGUAUAUAUGAAGCCCACCCCAGUAUUCACAAACAUACUCCUACUUUUACUAUUCUAUUUUCUUUAACCUCCGUCAACACGUUGACGUUACCCCAGAAUCAUCCAUCUCACUCUUUAUAUACUUUUGUGUUCCAACAAACUUUAAAGUCGCAAACUUUAGAGUUAUUAUACGCUGGUAAGGAAAAUCAAUCUCCAUUCUUCAAACCACUUUCUUUUUAUAUCCUUUUAAUUUUAAGAACUUUACUCUUAGAGAGUGGAAAGAAGUGGAACCGAAUGUGGCAAAUUCCCUCUGAAUUACGUUAUUUGGUUUGCCGAAUUUGUGAAGAGGAUUGUUGGUAUGUAAAUCUUCCAAUUUUCAUGUAUAUUAAGUUAUUCUCAUGAAGUGGUGAUGAACUCUUCUUGUCGAUUUCGUUAUGAUUUAGCAUGUAUUACUUUUUCUUUUCCGAAGUAAUUUUAUCUUUGCUUGUUCAUCUGUGUUUAAUGAAAUUUUAAUUUGUGACUAGUUGAUUUGUCUUUUGAUUUAUCGAAAAUUACUUUAAAUAGAAAAUGAAUAAAUCCACAAUCUGUGGUUUGGAGUCUUAUUUGGCCUAAAGUUUAAUUGUCGUUUAGUACAAUGAAGAUAUAAAGAUUUAAAUUUUAAUUAUGGGAGUCAUGUAAUGUAUUUAAAUUGUGCUGAUGGGAUUAGAGUCUUAAGAUUUGCAAGGAGUUGAGGAAGUUCAUGUGAUUCCUAUGUAGUUGUUGUGGAUAUCUUAGUAAACGACAAUGAAGAUAUAAAGAUUUAAAUUUUAAUUAUGGGAGUCAUGUAAUGUAUUUAAAUUGUGCUGAUGGGAUUAGAGUCUUACGAUUUGCAAGGAGUUAAGGAAGUUGAUGUGAUUCCUAUGUAGUUGUUGUAGAUAUCUUAGUUUCUUUGAUUAUACUCUUUAAUAUUGGGGAAAAAAGCAGUUCAAAUAUUGGCAUUGAGGCAUAAAUAGAAAAAAAAUGAGUUUAAUCCAAACUAUAGUGAGUAUAAUCAUCUUCUGAUUAUAUGAUUUGUAAAUCACCAGUUAUGAUUACUACUCGGUAUAUUUUGGAUUUACUCAUAUUUUCUUCUAUACAUGCCCACGAACUACUUUAUUUCCUGUAUUACGGAGCACAAACAAAGAAAGUAAAAUAUCCACAAAAGCCACAUAGGAAUCGCAUCAAGUUCCUCAACUCUUUGCAAAUCUUAUAACUCUAACCCCAAUAGCACUUUAAAUAAAUUACAUGACUCCCGGAUUUAAAAGUUGAAUGUUUAUAUCUUCAUUUGUACUAAGCGAAAAUUAAAUUCUAGGUCAAAUAAGAUUCCGACACUGUAGGUCGGGGAUUUAAACAUUCCCUAUCUACACUCAUUUUUAGUAAAUCAAAUUACAAACCAACUAGUUCCGAAUUAUAAUAUCAUCAAACACAAAUGAACAAGCAAACAUAAAAUUACUUUGCAAAAACAACAGGUAGCUCAUACCAAACCAUAACGAAAUCGACAGGAACAGUUCAGCACCACCAAAUCAGAACUUAAUAUACAUGAGAAUUUGAAGAUUACAUACCAGCAAUCCUCUUCACGUAUUGGGAAUACCAAAUAACGUAAUUCACAUCAGGGAAUUCUCCAAUAUUUGCUUCACUGCUUUCCAUUCUCUUAAAUCAAAGUUCCUAAAGACUUCAAAUUAAAAAGAGAUAAAAAGAAAGUGGUUUACGACUUUAAAGUUUGUUGGAACACAAAAGUAUAUAAAAAGUAUAUGUGUUCUAAAGCAAGAACUUAGAGAAUUUCAGACAAUUAUACAAAAGUUCUGCUUUUCUUGCUGAGGCUUCAACUUUGUUUACAUAGUAAUUAUGUAAGUGAAUAUAUAAUUUUCUCCAUCCAUUACCUAGUACCUACUCUCCAUGAGUUUCUGUAAAUGCUUUGCCGAUUCACAUCUGGGGUUUACAAUUACGAGCCCAGAGUAUCUCCCGUACAUUUCAAUCAACGCCGUAUGAACAAACAAAUCAGACCCAAAACCUCUAAUCAUCAGUAUCUAAAGUAUCUGGUUGGGGACUUGUGUCAAACAGGUGGCGGGCAUACGAGACCUCAUCAGUGACCCGUGAAAACAUUUUACUAGCUAUGUUAGGGUAACAUCUAAAGUGGUUUUGAGGAUAAGCAGAGAUUUGGAGAAGAUGAUUGCGGGAGAUGAGUGUUCUCAGGGUUGAAUGUAUCGGCGUUCCUCACGAAGAUCCCGUUUAAUAUUUGAAACAUAUUUUCAGUAUUUGGGGAUAACAUUCUUGAUUUUUUUUAAAUCAAUGACAUAUUGAAAAAAUUCUCAUGAAUUGAGGUGUAUUUUAUUCGAAUUUUAAUAGUCUGAUUUUAAAAGAUUGUAUGUAAUUUUAAAUUACGCGAAUUUUUGAAAAAAUGUUGCAGAAUUGAUAUAGAUUAUUUAAAAUUUAAGUACAAUAUUUCAAAAUCUCAUGGAUUUUGGUGGGAUUUCAAAAAAAUUAAAAUUCACUCAAAAAUCUCGCAAAAUCCAUCAUUUUAUGAAAUCCAUAAAAAUCCAAUAGUAUUUGUAUAUCAUUUGAAUUUUAAACAAUCCAAAUUAAAUGAAAAAAAGCCCUAAAUAACUGAAUUUUUGAGUUUAAUGCCCCGUAGAACAAAAUUUGAAAAAGUGGCCCCAGUUGACAUGUGAAAACACUUAAAAUUGCCCGCAAGGGUUGGUUCAGCUGGUUAAAGAGGGGACAAGUAUCCUCUUGAUCACUGGUUCGACUCCCGAAGGGAGCACGUAGUUUGCAGGCUAUUGCGUGGGUUUACCCAGUGCGCACCCCCGAAGUGUAGCGGCUGUGGGUUCCUACGUUAAAGUUUGCAGGCUCGCAUAGGUUUACGGGUUUUCUCUUUUCUUCUUUUAUUAAACCUUUUCAAACUUCACAGUUUACAUAAGUAAAGUUAACAUUGAGUACACUGAGUAGACGAAGUACAGAGAAAACAGGUUGCGGGUUGCGGGUUGGGUCAAGCUAAUAUAAAGAAAAAUCAAUUGAGAUGAUGGAUUAUAAUGUAAGUUUUACAUUCUUUUGAAGAAUUGCAAUUCAAUUUAUAUAUAUUUUCAAUGUAUAUGUUCUAUGUGUUUGUUAAAGUGUCUAUGAUGAUUUACAUAUGAAGCAGUGGUUAGAAAUAGCUAGUAUUAUUUCUAAUUGAGUUGUAGUCACAUAUUACCAGUUAAGUUCGAGUUAUGUAAUGCAUAUUUGGAGCUUAAUUUUAGAAUUUGAAGCUUAUCUAUUACUUUACUAUGAGAAAUCUGCUUAGGUUAUCCAUGUGUAUGAAGAAUACGUAAGUUUAGGACCAAUAUAAUUGGAAAUGGCACUAGUUUAGGAGCAUCUUCUACCUGAUCAACCCUACAGAGCCCACAUAUCAGAGAAUUGAAAGUGAACAUAUCUGGUUUACAUCCUCCGUUUACCAUGUCAGCGUAUAGUUCCAGAGCCUCCUUAACCUUCUCAUCCUUAGCUAAAGCAUUUAUCAGGCAGUUGUAUCCAACAGUGUUUAAGCGGAUCCCCAAUGCUGACAUUUCACGGACAGCUUCUUCUGCUUCCUUCAAUCUGCCGACCUUGCAGAACCCGUUGAUCAAACUCGUGUAUGUUAUUAGGUUGGGCUUGCAACCCAUAAUUUCCAUCUCUUUCAUCAAAUUUCGUGCUAAAGAAAAAGAUUUUCUCGAACAUAGACCACGGAUGAUUAUGUUAUAUGUAUAGAUAUCUGGAUUGCAACCAACAGCGGGCAUCCCCUGCCUCAAAACAGCAUUGGCAUCAUCAAACUGUCCAUUGGCCACAUAACCAUUAAUCAAAGUAUUGAACAAAACAACAUUAGGCUCGGGCACUCUCUCCAGAAUAGCUCUAGCUUUAUCAACUUGACCAGUUCGGCAUAAUCCAUCCAUUAAAAUUCCUUAAGUAAACUUGCUAGGAGUGAAGCCUCAGAGAAGCAUUCUAUCGACCAAUUUAGCACCUUCAGGUAUCCUCUUAGCACGGCAAAGACCAUGAAUAACAUCAUUAAAAGUAUCAACAUCAGGUGUGCAACCCAUCAGAAACAUUUCCUCCAAAUAUCUUAUCACGUCAUUUAUUCUGUUCACCUUACAAAGCGCAUGUAUAAGUGUCUGGUAAAUAACUGAAUUCGGCACACACCCAUGUUCUGUCAUAUCUCUUAAAAGUGAACAUGCAGAAUCCACCUCAUUAACCAUACAAAGCACUUUCAUCACCACACCGAACGUUAAAACAGUUGGAGAAAUCCCCUUGUGCAACAUCUCAUAAAAAAUAUUCGGUGCAACAGCCGGGCAAUCCCCAGCAACCAAUAUAUCCAGAACAACAUUAUAAGACCUAAAACUAGGUUCGCAACUAAAAACAUCCCUCAUAUCAAAAAGUAACCGCGUCGAUUGACCAGGUAAACCAGCUCUACCAUAAUGCCUCAUCAUAGAAAUAAAAAGUGACUCCUGAAAAACUACCCCUUCAUCUUUCAUCCGCAGCAACAAUCCAUCAAUCAACUUAAACUCCCCGGCCGCUCCAAGUUUAUUAAUCAAAGUACAAUACACAUCAAAUGUAUGAGUAUACCCCAUUUGAGUACCCGCCUUACGGAACAAAUCCACAGAAGUAGGGACAUCAAGGGGGAGUUGAAGCAACUUAUUAAGCUGAUACGGUGCAAGUCGAUUAAGGGACUUUCGAAGCUGUUCAAUGUCAAAUGGUUCAAGCAAACUUUCCCAAUCUGUUUCAGGGGAUGACCCAUUCUUAUAAUCAGAAUUACCAACAACAUUUCCAUCAUCCCCAAUUGAACUACAAUAUGUAAAGAUUGGAUUUUUAUACAAAGAUUGAACCUUUUUGACAAAAUGACACCCAAGAUUCAAUCUUUUGAGCAUAACUCUUAUUGGGUAAUUGUAAACAAGCAAAAGCUAAGCACACAACUGAUUGGCAUUACACAUACAUAAACUUUUCAGGGUUAUAAGCAAUUGUGUGUAUACAUGUAUGUAUAUGUGCAUAUAGAGUUGAAAAAUAUAUGAGAAACAGAGCAGAAUAAAGAGCUCUAACCUGGGAAAAAUAUCUUGCAUAUAGUGUUUGUAUUUGCUGCAAAAAGCUUCUGCACUAAUUAUUCAGUGAGCAGCGGAUCGGGUCUAAAGUCAAAUUUUCAAAUCAAUUGGGUGUUUGUAUGUGCAUAUAAUUCAGCACACAAUAAAGCUGAUCAUGGCUUAUGGACCAGAAAGCUGCUUCUUCAGCUUUUUCAAAGAAAUUUUCUUUCAACAUUGCUACACACUAUGGUUUCAGCCGCAUUGCUUGUUAAUCAAUCUCGUCGAAUUGAUCUAUAUCAUCUACCCAUAAAGUUUCAUCAUCUAAUUGAAGCGCCCACAAGUUUCCUCAUUUCUUUCUAUCUAUAUUCCCAUGUUAUAACUAGUACAUUAGCAAAGGCGUUCUUUUCUAAUAUCUCGGAUAUUCAUAUAAAAGAGUACACAUGUAAAACAAAAAUACUAAACAAACUCAUGAACUAAAUAUUAAUGACCACAAAUAAUAAUCACACAAAAUACAAAUAAAAAAGCGGAAACCAAAGAAAUAUUCAGAAGAGAUGAUUCAAAACUUUCUAACAAUUACAAAACUAAUCUUUAAAAUUUGUGAGUCAUAAAGCCUGGAUGAUGACCUUGUGACAGAGAUAGCUAACCAUGCCUCUCAUCAUUCAUCUCAAUGACAAUGUUAUGCAAGAUGCGGCAAGCUGUGCUAAUACUUUGACGCUUCUCAGCUUUCAUUACAAGUGUAAGAACCUUCCAUUCUUCCUUUAGCCGCCUAUCCAUUGUCUCAGCAGUCAUUCUUUCCUCAGUAGCAGUGGCUGUCCCAUGGAGGUGGCGAAGGCCAUUUUCUACCAAGGCCUCCACAAAGGACCUUGUAACCUUAUCAGCAGUAAAAGAGUGCGUACCAAUUUCCUUACUGAUUGAGUUCAGUGACUUGCCAAAUUUUAGCCUUCUCAACGCUAUGGCUACUUUAUCAACCACGGUCAAUUCUCUAUUAUCGUUAAAUUUGUAUGUGUGUGACUUGGACAUUGGCUCCAUCACAAGAGAGCACAAGUAUCUGAAGGUUCUCAUUGAGAUCCCGCAGUACUCUUCGACUCUAGUCGAGUCUUCCAAGAGAGGAAAAUGUCCUGCAAAGAAGAGAAGAAAAUGCAUUUUUAUAAAUACGACUAAGACACUGCCAUAAUGUGUUUAUCAUGCUGAAAACUUGAACAUAUUAGAUUAAUGCAUAACACCAUACUAGUCCAUUCAUUUCAGUAUACAUACACAUAUCGACCUGUAAACUGUAUAAACAAAAUGAAGCUAGAAUGUCAAAAAUGAAGAUCAGUAAACUGCUGGUGAUUAACACACAGGGAUAUAUCACAUUCAGUAAGGUUCCAAUCUGAAAAGAAUGCUACAGCUUUCAUAUCAAAUCUGAAUCAAUAUGAACUGAUUAUAGGUGGAUACUUUCAGUAUUCAUAGCUAGUUACAAGCUCCUAGGAAAACAAACCCUUACAAGAACUAAGUACAUAACAACAUAUUCGAAAACAACAGAUUACAUAUUGUUCCAAAGACUAAGACAACUGGAAGCAGUUUGACCUUAAUUACUAGUUUGACCUUGUGGAACUGGAAAUAGAAAUAUUUUGAAUGUACUUACCUAAAAUCAAUCCCUUGCUACUUUGGAAAAAAAAGCUAGUCCUGAAUUCACUGGUGAUUUAUAAUUCACAUAACCAGAAGAUGAUUAUACUCAGUAUAAUUUCGAUUUACCUCAUAUUUUCUUCUAUGUAUGCCCCAAUGCCAAAAUCUGAAUUGCUUUCUUUCCCAUAUUACAGAGUAUAAACAAAGAAACUGAAAUAUCCACAAGAACUACAUACGAAUCACAUCAACUUCCUCAACUCCUUGCAAAUCUAAGGACUCUAAUCCCAUCAAAAAAAUUUAUAUGCACAUUACAUAACUCCCAGAAUUAAAAGUUAAAUGUUUAUCAUCUUCAUUGUACUAAGCGACAAUUAAAUUCUAGGUCAAAUAAGACUCCGAACCACAGAUUGAGGAUUUAUUCCUUCUCUAUCUAAAGUAAUUUUCAAUAAAUCAAAAGAAAAAUCAACUAGUCACAAAUUAAAAUUUCAUCAAACACAGAUGAACAAGCAAACAUAAAAUUACUUCAGAAAAAAAAAGGGUAGCACAUACCAAACUAUAAUGAAAUCGACAAGAACAGUUCAUCACCACUGAAUGAGAACAACUUAAAAUCCAUGAAAUUUUAAAGAUUUACAUACCAGCAAUCCUCUUCACGAAUUCGGCAAACCAAAUAACGUAAUUCAAAGGAAAUUUGCCACAAUUAGCUUCAUUUCUUUCCAUUCUCUUGAAGCAAAGUUCUUAAAAACUUAAAAUUAAAGGAGAUAUAAAGAAAGUGGUUUGAGAUGGAGAUUGAUUUUCCUUACCACCGUACAAUAACUCUAAAGUUUGUUGGAACACAAAAGUUUAUAAAGAGUGAGAUGGAUGGGUCUUGGGUGAAGUCAGCGUGUUGAUGGAGGUUAAAAGAAAUAGAAUAGUAAGAGUAGGAGUAUGUUUGUGAAUACUGGAGGUGGGCUUCAUAUAUACAAAUUUAUCCUUAGAAAAUUGUAAUUGGGCAUAAUAUAAAUUUUAUUUCAAAGCUGUAGCUCAUAUAUAAAGUAAAAUAAAGUAACUAAAAUAUACUCACUCCAUCCCAUAAAGCAUGAGCUAAUCAAUUUUACGCGCAUUUAAGAAAUUUGAGUAUGAUUAUUUGAUAUGUAUUUGCAUUCACAAAAAGAUGAGUUAGUGGAUGAUGACUAAGCAUUUACUUGAACAUGUGGUUACAGCUAUCUUAAAACAUACUAUAUAAAGUGGUGUCACGGAAAAAAUUUUCAACAUCCCACGUCACUAAGUUAUAUCAAUGCCUUUAUCAGCACAAACUUACAACUAAUAUUGUAUCGGAAUUGAUAACUCUUUUGUAUCAACUUAUAGUUGGUUGUUGAUUGACGUAGUAUGUUUGGCUUGGACUGUAACAAAUUUUGUCUGAGGUCGACCCUGCCAAAAGUGCCUUAAAAGGAUUUCUUCAGUUUUUGGGCUCGACGAGGACGUUAAACUUAUAUAAUGUGGAAAAACUGUAACAUUUCAUAGUAUGUAAGUGUGGACGCAUUUAUAAAUGUUGUAGAAAAGUCGUUAGCUCUUUUGGUUUGGUCUAUGGUGAGUUGUUGAACCAUCUCCUUCACUUUGGCUUGGGGUGUUACACAUUGAAUGCAGUAUAGAAUUUUGUUAUAAUUAUAAGUAUGUAUUUCUUUAUAUAUAUUCAAGUUGAUUGAAAAAUUAUUUAAAUUAAAUGGUACGAUGUAUAAAUCUUCAUAAGCUAUAACUUUAAUAUAAUAGACCUACUUGACUACGUCGAGACAUAUAAAAUUAUGACAAAAAUCCAAUUUAUUAUAAGAUAUGAUUAUAAUAAUAACCUCAAAUACAUAGAUCUGCCAAUUUGGUAUACAACAGAAAACAAAUGACACGAAAAAUAUGGAUAUCGAUUCACCAUUUUGUUAUACGAAUACGAAAGUAUACGAUCGUAAAACGUGUUCAGGUCAGAACUCUCAGGUGCAUUGCCUAAAGCAUAUAAUGCACCUGAGAGUUUUGACCCGAACACGUCAAAAUAUAAAGGGAUAUUUCUAAUGGUCCAUUUUAUGAUCGGGUACUUUCGUAUUCGUAUAUCGAAAUGGUAAUCGUUUUCCUUAUUUUUCGUGUCAAUUUUUCUUUUGUGUCGCAUACCAAAUUAAUGGCUUUAUCUAUUUUAGGUUUUUAUUAAAUUAUGUCUUCUAAUAAAUUAGAUUUUUUCUCAUAAAUUUAUAUGUAUAUUGUAUAGUCAGAUAGGUCUAUUAUAUUAAUGUAGUAGCUUACGAAGGUCAAUACAUUUAAUUAGUUAACUUAAAUAAUUUUUCACUCAACUUGAAGAGAUACAUAUAUAUGUGUGUGUGUGUGUAUCUUUGUGUGUGUGCUUAAUUAUAAUAAAAUUAUAUAAUUAUAUAAUAUAUCAAUUGUAUAACACCCUAAUCCUACGAGAAGCAAAUGGUUCAACAACUCACCACAGAGCAAUCCAAAAAAGCUAGCGACUUUGCUAAAACGUUUAUAAAGGCGUCCAAACUUACCACAGUAGGAUGUUACAGUUUUUCCACACAAUUAGUUUGACGUCCUCGUGGGGCCCAAAAGCUGAAGAAAUUUUGUGAAGCACUUUUGGCAGGGUCGAGCUCUGACAAAAUUCAUUACAGUCCAAUCCUAAUAUACUACAUCAUUCAACAACCCACUAUAAGUUGAUCCAAAAGAGGUAUCAAUCCCGAUGCAGUAUUAGUUAUAAGUUGUGCUCAUAAAGGCAUUGAUAUAACAUACCUAACUUAGUCAGGUGGCAGUAGCAAACUUUCUCCGUGACACUACGGGAAAGAAAGUAGUUCAGAUUUUGGCAUUGAGGCAUACAUAAAAGAAAAUAUGAGGCAAAUCCAAAUAACAACAGAAAGUCACCCUAGACCCAUCCAUCUCACUCUUUAUAAACUUUUGUGUUCCAACAAACUUUAAAGUCGCAAACUUUAGAGUUAUUGUACGGUGGUAAGGAAAAUCAAUCUCCAUUCCUCAAAGCACUUUCUUUUUAUAUCCUUUUAAUUUUAAGUUUUUAAGAAAUUUACUUUAAGAGAGUGGAAAGAAGUGAAGCUAAUUGUGGCAAAUUCCCUCCGAAUUACGUUAUUUGGUUUGCCGAAUUCGUGAAGAGGAUUGUUGGUAUGUAUAUCUUCAUGUAUAUUAAGUUCUCAUUAAGUGGUGACUGUUCUUGUCGAUUUCGUUAUGGUUUGGUAUGUAUUACCUUUUCUUUUCCGAAGUAAUUUUAUCUUUGCUUGUUUAUCUGUGUUUAAUGAAAUUUUAAUUUGUGACUAGUUGAUUUGUGUUUUAAUUUACUGAAAAUUACUUUAGAUAGAGAAUGAAUAAAUCCUCAAUCCGUGGUUCGGAGGCUUAUUUGGCCUAAAAUUUAAUUGUCGCUUAGCACAAUGAAGAUAUAAACAUUUUAAUUUUAAUUAUGGGAGUCAUGUAAUGUAUUUAAAUUGUGCUAAUGUGAUUAGAGUCCUAAGAUUUGCAAGGAGUUGAGGAAGUUGAUGUGAUUCCUAUGUGGUUCCUAUGUAGUUGUUGAUUACUACUCGGUAUAUUUUGGAUUUACCUCAUAUUUUCUUCUAUGUAUGCCCAAUAACUACUUUAUUUCCCGUAUUACGGAGCACAAACAAAGAAACUAAAAUAUCCACAAAAGCCACAUAGGAAUCGCAUCAAGUUCCUCAACUCUUUGCAAAUCUCAUAACUGUAAUCCCAAUAGCACUGUUUAAAUAGAUUACAUGACUCCCGGAUUUAAAAGUUGAAUGUUUAUAUCUUCAUUUGUACGAGGCGAAAAUUAAAUUAUGGGUCAAAUAAGAUUCUGACACUAUAGAUUGGGGAUUUAAUCAUUCCCUAUCUACACUCAUUUUUAGUAAAUCAAAAUACAAACCAACCAGUCCCGAAUUAUAAUUUCAUCAAACACAGAUGAACAAGCAUACAUAAAAUUACUUUGCAAAAACAACAGGUAGCACAUACCAAAACAUAACGAAAUCGACAGGAACAGUUGAGCACCACCAAAUCAGAACUUUAUAUACAUGAGAAUUUAAAGAUUAACAUACCAGAAAUCCUCUUCACGAAUUCAGCAAACCAAAUAACGUAAUUCACAUCAGGGAAUUCUCCAAUAUUUGCUUCACUGCUUUCCAUUCUCUUAAAUCAAAGUUUUUAAAAACUUCAAAUUAGAAAGAGAUAAAAAAAAAAAGUGGUUCGAGGAAUGAAGAUUGUUUUUCCUUACCACCGGAGAAUAACUCUAAAGUUUGCGACUUUAAAGUUUGUUGGAACACAAAGGUAUAUAAAAAGUAUAUGUGUUCUAAAGCAAGAACUUAGAGAAUUUCAGACAAUGAUACAAAAGUUCUGCUUUUCUUGCUGAGGCUUCAACAUU
rnacentral:lncRNA from 1 species